rfam:Cryptococcus gattii R265 mitochondrial scaffold supercont2.28, whole genome shotgun sequence.
GUACAAGAUUUUUAAGAGUAUCAAGUAAUAAUCCAGUAAAUAUAUAGCGGGGCAAAUUCGAGAGAACUCCUAUAUAUGGAAUAAUUAACAUAUAUAGGACAAUCGUCGAACUAAAUCAUUAGUUGGAAACGGCUAAUGUAAAAGCGUAGAGACUAUACGCCCCAGGUCAAUCUAAGUAUUUAUUAAUAUACGGUGAUCUAAGACAUAGUCCACUCCUUUAAGCAAUUAAAGG